GGGAAGAUGCCACAAGGAGCGUUCUGGAUUUGAGGGACCCUGGACCACCAACCCUCUUAUUUUUGGUAACUCCUACUUCAAGAAACUCCUAAGCGGAGAGAAGGAAGGUUUAAUCCAGCUGCCAUCAGAUAAAGCUCUUCUGGAGGAUCCAAUCUUCCGUCCUCUUGUAGAAAAAUAUGCUGCCGACGAGGAUGCCUUCUUUGUCGAUUAUGCUGAAGCUCAUUUGAAGCUCUCAGAGCUUGGAUUUGCUGCUGCUGAAUAGAGAAUCGGAGAGGUGAAAUGCCGUUGCUGUCGGGUCUUUGGUCUGGAGGUUGGUGUUAUUCUGAAAGUUUGCGCGCUUUGAUUUAUGGCUAUUAUAUUAUCUUGUGAUUAGUGUCUCUAAUAUAACUGGUAUGCAAAAACAGCUAAGCUUGGUAUUUGAUGUCUUGGUGCAACAAUUAUGAGACGCGACCCCAUCAUAGAGAUGUUGGUAUUUUGGUG